rnacentral:rRNA from 1 species
UACGUAGGGUGCAAGCGUUGUCCGGAAUUAUUGGGCGUAAGGAGCUCGUAGGCGGUCUGUCGCGUCGAAUGUGAAAACCCGGGGCUCAACCCCGGGCCUGCAUUCGAUACGGGCAGACUAGAGUUCGGUAGGGGAGUCUGGAAUUCCUGGUGUAGCGGUGAAAUGCGCAGAUAUCAGGAGGAACACCGGUGGCGAAGGCGGGUCUCUGGGACGUAACUGACGCUGAGACGCGAAAGCGUGGGGAGCAAACAGG